CAAUCAAGUACAAAGCGGAUGGAAAGGUUGAGAGGAAGAAGUCAAGGCUAGUUGCAAGAGGUUUCACUCAAACUUAUGGAGAAGAUUACAUAGAAACCUUUGCACCAGUAGCUAAACUCCACACAAUCCGGAUUGUACUAAGCUUGGCUGUGAAUCUUGGAUGGGGGUUAUGGCAAAUGGAUGUGAAGAAUGCGUUUCUACAAGGUGAACUUGAGGAUGAAGUGUAUAUGCAUCCACCUCCAGGCCUUGAACACUUAGUGAAGAGUGGAAAUGUGUUGAGACUGAAGAAAGCCAUCUAUGGGCUGAAGCAAUCACCAAGAGCGUGGUACAACAAGUUGAGCACUACUCUUAAUGGCCGAGGCUUCAAGAAGUCUGAACUAGAUCACACCCUCUUCACACUCACGACUCCCUCAGGUAUGAUUCCACUCCUUGUGUAUGUUGAUGAUAUCAUUAUCACAGGGAGUGAUAAGGAAGGUAUCAUAGCAACCAAGGAGUUUCUUAAAUCCAUGUUUGAGAUUAAAGACUUGGGAGAAAUGAAAUACUUUCUUGGAAUUGAGAUAUGUAGAUCCAAGGAAGGUUUGUUCAUGUCCCAAAGGAAGUAUACACUUGAUCUUUUGAAAGGUGCAGGUGCUUAUGGAGGCAAGACAGCAAGGAUGCCUAUGGAGGAUGGCUACAAAGUCCCACGAGAGGGGGAGAUUGAAGACAGCAAACCUUAUCAGGAUCCUAAACUCUAUAGAAAACUAGUUGGCAAAUUGAUCUACCUCACUAUAACUAGACCUGACAUUUGUUUUGCUGUGAAUCAGGUGAGUCAACACAUGCAAGUACCUAAGGAACAUCAUUGGCGCAUGGUGGAGAGGAUCUUGAUGUAUCUCAACGGCUCACCUGAUCAAGGAGUAUGGAUGGGCUGCAAUGGAAGCACUGAAGUGGUGGGAUACUGUGAUGCGGAUUGGGCUGGUGAUAGAGCAGACAGGAGAUCAACCACAGGCUAUUGCACAUUCAUUGGAGGCAACUUGGUGACUUGGAAGAGCAAGAAGCAGAAGGUAGUGUCAUGUUCAAGUGCAGAAGCCGAGUAUAGAGCCAUGCUGAAGCUCACCAACGAGUUGGUAUGGAUCAAAGGCAUCUUGAAGCACUUGGAGAUUGAUCAAGCAACUCCAAUGACAAUGCAUUGUGACAAUCAAGCUGCCAUCCACAUUGCAUCCAACUCGGUGUUUCAUGAGAGGACCAAGCACAUUGAAGUUGAUUGUCACAAGGUGAGGCAGAUGAUUGUGCUAGGGGUGAUCUUGCCAUGUUACACAAGGAGUGAAGAUCAGCUAGCGGAUGUGUUCACCAAGGCUGCAAGACAGAAGACAAUGGAGUCCAUUCACAUCAGGUUGGGCCUCAUUGAUCUUGGGAAGAGAAGGAGCUAAUCCCCUUAGCUGCAAGGUCUUUACUCUUUUUCCCUCAUCAAAGUUUUAUCCCAUUGGGUUUUCUUUGGUGAGGUUUUUAAUGAGGAAGAUCUUGUGGCUGUCCAAGCUUAGACUUAUACAAAGCUAAGCUUGAGGGGGAGUGUUGAGUUGAGCUGAAUAUAUGUAUGAAGAGCUAAGGAGUUGAAGAGGAAAGGAGAUGAGGAAGCUUAAGGGAGUUUAGGGAGAGCAUGGUACGGACGUCCGUACAAGGCCGUACAAGCCGUACAGUCUGUACCAUCCAGCAUCGACCAAGACUUACCUUGCAUCAGCCAAGUAACACGGUAACUAAGGUAAAGGGAAGGAACUUACCUUGAGGCAUCAGACCGUUUAGGGAUAAGGUAGAGCGCGCCUUGACAGGCUGGAACAGCUGGAAAGGCAAGAGCAUCUCGGUCCAAGAUGCCAGAUAUUCCGCGCAUGUGGAGAAGCUAAUUGGCUAGUCCAAAUGAGCUUAUCCUCUCCUGAUUGACCUCACAUGCUUUAGUCUUCUCUUGAUUUCGAAAACCCUUGUAUGCUCACUCUAUAUAUUGUAACUCAUCAACCCUAAUGAAGAUUAAGCAGUUUGAGUCUCUCUAAUCUCUUAGACACUAUGGUUUACUCUUAGACACUAAACGGCUCUAUCUAGUCUCCUAAUCUUUCACAAACUUCUCUUAAUCACUUCCUAAACACUCUCUUUAUUCUGAUUACUCUAAGGAUCUCUUAAUCUCAUAGAUUCAUCCUGGUUUGAUUAGAANNNNNNNNNNNNNNNNNNNNNNNNNNNNNNNNNNNNNNNNNNNNNNNNNNNNNNNNNNNNNNNNNNNNNNNNNNNNNNNNNNNNNNNNNNNNNNNNNNNNNNNNNNNNNNNNNNNNNNNNNNNNNNNNNNNNNNNNNNNNNNNNNNNNNNNCAUGAGGAUGAAGGUAGCGGUUACUUUCAAAGGUAGCAACUACCUUGUGUGGUCUCGGAUGGUGAAGACUGCGGUGGGGAGUAAGGGUUUAUGGGGGCACAUCACAACAGGGGAGGCUCCAAAACUCAUUACUCAGGGAGGAGAUCAAGAAGAGGUCUCCAAUGAAGCGGCUGUAGAGAAGUGGCAAUAAGAAGACAUGCUGGUGAUGACGGUUCUACACGCAUCCUUGGAUCCAGCUAUCUUGGAUGCCUCCAGCUACUGUGAAUCAGCCAAGGAGCUGUGGGACACGCUGAAGAAGGUGUAUGGGAACACUUCCAACCUUAGCCGUGUGUUUGAAGUGAAGCUAGCUAUCAACCGGCUUGUGCAAGAGGAUAUGGAGUUCACAAAGCACUUGGGGAGGUUCAGGUCCUUGUGGUCCGAGCUAGAGAUGCUGAGGCCGAGCACAACUGACCCUGAUCAGCUGAAUGAGAGGCGCGAGCAAGAUAAGGUCUUUGGGCUGCUCCUCACACUGAACCCGGCCUACACUCAACUCAUCCAGCACAUGUUGAGGGCAGACAAGCUUCCGGACCUUGAGGAAGUGUGUGCACAAAUCCAAAGGGAGCAGGGGUCUAUGGGGCUGUUUGGAGGAAAGGGGGAGCUCUCUCUUGCCAAUCAAGCAGCUCAUGAGGACUCAACCGAAGCUCCACAAGCAAACAAGCCAUCUCACGGGAAGUAUGAGGACAGGAAGUUCAAUGGCAACUGUGAUCAUUGCAAGAAGCAUGGUCAUAAGAAGAGCCAAUGCUGGAUACUACACCCACACCUCAAGCCGGCCAAGUUCAUGAAGGAGCGUGAGGGAAGGGCAAAUGUGACUGAAGGAUCAAGCGGAGCUGGCACCAUCAAGACAAGUGAAGUGGAUGGACAUGGAGGCAAUGAUGGGAAUGGGAAGUCUCUGGUUGCUUACACAGGCCCCUCAAGCUCACGCAGCAAUGAUGACUACAUCAAGAGAUCAGACCUUGAUGCUCUCUUCAAAAUGCUAAAGGAAAACGGUAACACUUAUGGUUAUUCUUUUGGAGCAUCUAGGAUUGCAUAUGAGGAUGAUCACUUGAUUAGAGAACUAGUAGAACGGUUAGAAACUAGGGAUGAGUAUAGAAAUGCACACAUUGCUAGAACUGAUAGGAUGCAUUCAUCUCUUAGUAAUCUUUGUCACAAUGCUAAAAGAGUAUAUAAACCAUUGAUUGUUGAUUCUGGUGCAUCACAUCAUAUGAUAAGUGAUGAGAACUUGAUUAAGGAUAUAGAACCUACUCAUGGGCAUGUGAUGAUAGCAAAUGGAGAUAAGAUACCUAUUAAGGGAAUAGGAAAGCUUAAGUUGUUUAACAAAGAAUCUAGAGCGUUUUACAUGCCUGAAUUCACAUCAAACCUAUUAUCUGUAAAGAGAUGUACUAAUGAUUUACAAUGCAAUGUUAUCUUUAUUCCUAAUGAUGUGAAGUUUCAGGAUAUUGAGAGCAGCAGAUUGAUUGGGAAAGGGGUGACUAAGGGAGAUCUCUAUAUGCUUGAAGAACUCACUUCUGUUCCUGAUUAUAGUUGCUCGUUUACUUCUGCUUCUUUGUUGAAUAAAAAUGCAUUGUGGCAUGCUAGAGUAGGACACCCUCAUGUUAAAGCAUUGAACUUAAUGCUACCAGGUGUUGUGUUUGAUAACAAAGAUUGUGAAGCUUGCAUUUUAGGCAAGCAUUGUAGAACUGUGUUUCAAAAGUCUACCACCGUUUAUGAUAAUUGCUUUGAUCUAAUUCAUUCAGAUGUGUGGACUGCCCCUUGCCUAUCUAGAGAUAGUUAUAAGUAUUUUGUCACAUUCAUUGAUGAAAAAUCCAAAUACACCUGGUUAACCUUAAUUCAGACCAAAGAUAGGGUGCUUGAUGCAUUUAGGAACUUUCAAACUUAUGUAACUAACCAUUAUCAUGCUAAGAUUAAAAUUUUUAGAUCAGAUAAUGGAGGAGAGUACACAAGCCAUGCAUUCAAGCAACACUUAUCACAACAUGGGAUCCUACAUCAGACAAGCUGUCCGUAUACUCCACAGCAAAAUGGUGUGGCUGAGAGGAAGAAUAGGCAUCUCAUGGAGGUGGCAAGGUCACUCAUGUUUCAGAGUAAUGUUCCAAAGAGAUUUUGGAGUGAUGCGGUUGCUACUGCUUGUUACUUGAUAAACAGAACUCCAACCAAGAUUCUGCAUGAGAAGGCUCCAUUUGAAGUUCUGAACAAGUACAAGCCAGCUCUUGAUUACUUGAAGGUCUUUGGAUGUCUAUGCUUUGUACUCAAACCAGGAGAGAUGCGCAACAAGCUAGAAGCAAGAAGUACUAAGGCUGUGUUCAUAGGAUACUCAGCUACACAGAAAGGAUACAAAUGCUAUGAUCCUAUAGCAAGGAGAGUACUGGUAUCUAGAGACGUGAAGUUCUUGGAAGAUAGAGGAUACUAUGAAGAAAAGAAUCAAGAAGACCUGAAGGACUUAACAUCAGACAAGGCCACCACCUUGCGGAUCAUUCUUGAAGGUCUUGGAAUCAGUACAUCCCAGGAUCCGAGAGAUCACGCAACCACACCUCCUGAAGUUGGUUCACCAUCCCACCUUGAUCAUGAGGGAGGAGAGGAGUAUGAGGAGCCUACGCAAGAGGCUAACCAAGAUGAAGGAGGAGUAGAGAAUGAAGGAGAAGAGAGCAUAGGCUCUGAUGGUCAUGGGCAUGAUCAUGGUGUGAUACAAACGCCUUCUCAAGAUGAAGUAGUAGAAGAACAACAGGAAGAAGAACCGGUUGUGCAGCCACUAAGAAGGAGCACAAGGCUGAGGAAGGAUCCUUCUAGCUGGGUAAACACGAGAGUGUACUACAAUGCCCAAGCUGUGGAGCAUCCCUCUCAAGUUGUGUGUUCCUUUGCUCAAUGCCCUGAAGAACAUUGUGCCUUCAUGGUUAACUUGGAUGAGAAUUACAUCCCAAGAAGCUAUGAAGAAGCAAUCAUGGAUAAAGAAUGGAAGGAGUCAGUUGGAGCUGAGGCAGGAGCUAUGAUCAAGAAUGAUACAUGGUAUGAGAGUGAGUUACCAAAAGGGAAGAAGGCUGUGACUAGUAGAUGGAUAUUCACAAUCAAGUACAAGGCUGAUGGAAAGAUUGAGAGGAAGAAGUCAAGGCUAGUUGCAAGAGGUCUCACUCAAACUUAUGGAGAAGAUAACAUAGAAACCUUUGCACCAGUAGCCAAACUACACACAAUCCGGAUUGUAUUAAGCUUGGCUGUGAAUCUUGGAUGGGGGUUAUGGCAAAUGGAUGUGAUGAAUGCCUUUCUACAAGGUGAACUUGAGGAUGAAGUGUAUAUGCAUCCACCUCCAGGCCUUGAACACUUAGUGAAGAGAGGGAAUGUGUUGAGGUUGAAGAAAGCUAUCUAUGGGCUGAAGCAAUCACCAAGAGCUUGGUACAACAAGCUGAGCACUACUCUCAAUGGCCGAGGCUUCAAGAAGUCUGAACUAGAUCACACUCUCUUCACACUCACGACUCCCUCAGGUAUGAUUGCACUCCUUGUGUAUGUUGAUGAUAUCAUCAUCACAGGAAGUGAUAAGGAAGGUAUCAUAGCAACCAAGGAGUUCCUU
rnacentral:lncRNA from 1 species